CCUACGUGAGGCAGCAGUGAGGAAUAUUGGUCAAUGGGCGAGAGCCUGACCCAGCCAAGUCGCGUGAAGGAUGACGGCCCUACGGUUUGUAACCUUCUUUUGUCAGGGAGCACUUUGGUCCACGCGUGGGCUUAGCGAGAGUACCUGAAGGAAAAGCAUCGGCUAACUCCGUGCCAGCAGCCGCGGUACUACGGAGGAUGCGAGCGUUAUCCGGAUUUAUUGGGUUAAAGGGGUGCGUAGGCGGAAUAUCAAGUCAGCGGUAAAAAUUCGGGGCUCAACCCCGUCGUGCCGUUGAAACUGAUGUUCUUGAGUGGGCGAGAAGUAUGCGGAAUGCGUGGUGUAGCGGUGAAAUGCAUAGAUAUCACGCAGAACUUCGAUUGCGAAGGCAGCAGACCGGCGCCCAACUGACGCUGAAGCGCGAAAGCGUGGGUAUCGAACAGGAUUAGAUACCCGAGUAGUC
rnacentral:rRNA from 1 species